UAUUUGUUUGGGACGAGUUGGA
rnacentral:siRNA from 1 species